rnacentral:rRNA from 1 species
CUGGAAUGGCUUAUGGUCUAAACAGUUUACUGCCAUGGGAUGGGACUGCGGCCUAUCAGCUUGUUGGUGAGGUAAUGGCCCACCAAGGCUAUAACAGGUACGGGCUCUGAGAGGAGAAGCCCGGAGAUGGGUACUGAGACACGGACCCAGGCCCUAUGGGGCGCAGCAGGCGAGAAACCUUAGCAAUGUGCGAAAGCACGACUGGGUCAGUCCGAGUGAUUCCUGAUAAAGGAGUCUUUUAUCUGUCCUAAAAGCACAGGUGAAUAAGGGGUGGGCAAGACUGGUGUCAGCCGCCGCGGUAAUACCAGCACCUCGAGUGGUCAGGACGUUUAUUGAGCCUAAAGCAUCCGUAGCCGGCUUUGCAAGUCUUCGGUUAAAUCCACCUGCUCAACAGAUGGGCUGCUGGAGAUACUACAAAGCUAGGGAGUGGGAGAGGCAGACGGUAUUCAGUGGGUAGGGGUAAAAUCCUCUGAUCCAUCGAGGACCACCAGUGGCGAAGGCGGUCUGCCAGAACACGUUCGACGGUGAGGGAUGAAAGCUGGGGGAGCAAACCGGAUUAGAUACCCGGGUAGUCCCAGCUGUAAACGAUGCAAACUCGGUGAUGCAUUGGCUUAUGGCCAAUGCAGUGCCGCAGGGAAGCCGUUAAGUUUGCCGCCUGGGAAGUACGGACGCAAGUCUGAAACUUAAAGGAAUUGGCGGGGGAGCACCACAAGGGGUGAAGCCUGCGGUUCAAUUGGACUCAACGCCGGU